rnacentral:rRNA from 1 species
GGGUCCGCACAAGCGGUGGAGCAUGUGGUUUAAUUCGAUAAUACGCGAGGAACCUUACCUAGGCUAGAAUGCGAGUGAUAUCCAGAGAGAUCUGGAGUUCUUCGGACACAAAGCAAGGUGCUGCAUGGUUGUCGUCAGCUCGUGCCGUGAGGUGUUGGGUUAAGUCCCGCAACGAGCGCAACCCCUAUUUCUAGUUGCCAGCAAGUAAUGUUGGGACUCUAGAAAGACUGCCUGCGUAAGCAGAGAGGAAGGAGGGACGACGUCAAAUCAGCAUGGCCCUUAUGCCUAGGGCUACACACGUGCUACAAUGGCGUAUACAAAGGGUAGCGAACCAGUGAUGGUAAGCCAAAUCUCUAAAAGUACGUCUCAGUUCGGAUUGAAGUCUGCAACUCGACUUCAUGAAGCUGGAAUCGCUAGUAA